AUUGAACGCUGGCUGCAUGCCUUACACAUGCAAGUCGAACGGUAACAGGUCUUCGGACGCUGACGAGUGGCGAACGGGUGAGUAAUACAUCGGAACGUGCCCAGUCGUGGGGGAUAACUACUCGGAAGAGUAGCUAAUACCGCAUACGAUCCGAGGAUGAAAGCGGGGGACCUUCGGGCCUCGCGCGAUUGGAGCGGCCGAUGGCAGAUUAGGUAGUUGGUGGGAUAAAAGCUUACCAAGCCGACGAUCUGUAGCUGGUCUGAGAGGACGACCAGCCACACUGGGACUGGGACACGGCCCAGACUCCUACGGGAGGCAGCAGUGGGGAAUUUUGGACAAUGGGCGAAAGCCUGAUCCAGCAAUGCCGCGUGCAGGAUGAAGGCCUUCGGGUUGUAAACUGCUUUUGUACGGAACGAAAAAGCUCCUUCUAAUACAGGGGGCCCAUGACGGUACCGUAAGAAUAAGCACCGGCUAACUACGUGCCAGCCGCCGCCGUAA
rnacentral:rRNA from 1 species